rnacentral:rRNA from 1 species
GGAUUAGAUACCCUGGUAGUCCACGCUGUAAACGAUGAGUGCUAAAAGCUAGAAUAUUAUUUUUUAGUUUUGUAGCUAACGCGUUAAGCACUCCGCCUGGGGAGUACAAUCGCAAGGUUGAAACUUAAAGGAAUUGACGGGGGCCCGCACAAGCGGUGGAGCAUGCGGUUUAAUUCGAUAAUACGCGAAAAACCUUACCAACUCUUGACAUGUAAGUUUUAAACUGUAGAGAUAUAGUUUUUCAGUUCGGCUGGGCUUACACAGGUGUUGCAUGGCUGUCGUCAGCUCGUGCCG